rnacentral:rRNA from 1 species
GGCAAACGGGUGAGUAACACGUGGGUGACCUGCCUUCGAGCGGGGGAUAACGUCCCGAAAGGGACGCUAAUACCGCAUAACAUCCUGCCUUUGAAGAGGUGGAGAUCAAAGCUGGGGAUCGCAAGACCCGGCACUUGAAGAGGGGCCCGCGUCUGAUUAGCUAGUUGGUGGGGUAAUGGCCUACCAAGGCAACGAUCAGUAUCCGGCCUGAGAGGGCGGACGGACACACUGGGACUGAGACACGGCCCAGACUCCUACGGGAGGCAGCAGUGGGGAAUUGUUCGCAAUGGGCGCAAGCCUGACGACGCAACGCCGCGUGGAGGAUGAAGAUUUUCGGAUCGUAAACUCCUGUCGAAUGGGACGAACAGAUUGCGGGUUAACAGCCCGUAGUCCUGACGGUACCGUUAAAGGAAACCCCGGCUAACUCCGUGCCAGCAGCCGCGGUAAUACGGGGGGGGUAAGCGUUGUUCGGAAUUACCGGGCGUAAAGGGCUCGUAGGCGGCCAACUAAGUCAUACGUGAAAUCCCUCAGCUUAACUGGGGAACUGCGUGUGAUACUGGAUGGCUUGGAUUUGGGAGAGGGAUGCGGAAUUCCAGGUGUAGCGGUGAAAUGCGUAGAUAUCUGGAGGAACACCGGUGGCGAAGGCGGCAUCCUGGACCAAUAUUGACGCUGAGGAGCGAAAGCCAGGGGAGCAAACGGGAUUAGAUACCCCGGUAGUCC